UAAGGAAUGCCCAGAAAGAAUUCUGUGAGGU
rnacentral:piRNA from 1 species